AUACGGAGGAUCCGAGCGUUAUCCGGAUUUAUUGGGUUUAAAGGGCGCGUAGGCGGAUACUUAAGUCAGUUGUGAAAUCUUAGGGCUUAACCUUGAAAUUGCAGUUGAUACUGGACGUCUUGAGUGCAUUAAAUGUAAGCGGAAUUCUUGGUGUAGUGGUGAAAUGCUUAGAUAUCACGAAGAACUCCAAUUGCGAAGGCAGCUCUCAGGACUGUAACUGAGGCUGAGGCUCGAAAGUGUAGGUAUCAAACAGGAUUAGAUUCGCUGGUAGUCCACACAGUAAACGGUGAAUACUCGCUGUUUGCGAUAUACAGUAAGCGGCCAAGCGAAAGCGUUAAGUAUUCCACCUGGGGAGUACGCUGGCAACGGUGA
rnacentral:rRNA from 1 species